AAAAUGGUUUAAGUAAUCCACAAUCAAGUGUGAUUGUAUCUAGCAUUCAAUUAUUGCUAAAAUGAAUAAUGUUGGUAUUUAACAGAAUCUGAUUUUAUGAUUCAGUUAUUUGUAAAUCUAAAUGUUUGAAUGUUAAUUCAAGUAAAACAAUAACAUCUAUCAGUGUUGAUAAGCUGAGCACAUCUUCCAUCCAUAGACCGGACUUCUGUCAUCCUUUAAGCAAAGCCGGGUUAAGAAUGAACAGACUGACUCUCCUGAAUCCUCACCUUGUGCUGACAGACUCAGAAAAAGAAAGCGUCAGAGACUGCUGUUUCCUUCCUGCUCUGAAAUGUCAGGAAACGAUGAAGACAAUGGCAAAGUUGUUAAUGAGAGUGAUGAAGAUAUCACUGACAUGACCGUGUUUGAAGGUCCAACCCUACCUAUAACCUGUGGUUCUAACUCUGGCAUCUUACAUAAAUAUCGCUUUGC